UCCAGGUAGUUACUCUACUAGCAACUAACAGCUUUGCUGCAUCUUUCAGUUGAUUGAAAGUGAGUGGAUAACCGAUUUCAGCUCGAGCUUUCACCAGGGAUGCAAGACACUCUUCUUCCGAUGAUGUAAGAAUGGUGGGAGGACCUGGUCGUCCUAUGCUGCGUCCCUUUAACCGAUCUCGCAAAGUCGUCCGAGUGCCAGGACAUUGGCUUUCAAGUACACUUUCAGGGACAGGAGCUGCCAGACUUCUCUGCACCACGGGCUGGAAGCAAGUCUAGUUAAAAAUCUGAAAUGGAAACAGAUAGUUACCUCUUGUGGCAAGGACAGCCCAGAAUGGGACAGCCUCUAGGAGCUGCGAAUGUUUGCGCACGAGCUCUUGAAAGUUGUGUUCUUUUGCCCUGUA